GACUUACCAUACCUGGCUGAAAUAUUAAGUAGGUAAUGCGCACUUAUAUUCCUGCUUAUGUUGAGUCAAGUGGUUAUAGUAACAAAAGGAUUACAAAUGCAGAAAUAACAACAAGGUAAAACCCAAAACCGUUGCUGAUGGGGGUAUUCGCAGUCGUCUCUCACUGGCUACACAUUCUUUCCCAAUGUUUCGAUAUAGUAUUUCUAUCGGCAUUUUAGUGUAAUCCGGCAAAUUGUUAACAAUCAAAAUGAUGUCAAAACGUUCAAUUCAAGAAAUCGCCGAAACUGUUACAGUAAUAGUUUAUGAAGCCGUCAACGAAAUUGUUUUGGGGAUAUUUGGCACAAUCAUGUCAGCUUUUUGGAUUUACGCUAGUGGCAAAUUCAAAGGAGACUUUUAUGAAGAGGGUAUCCCAUAUUUUUAUUUUUUUUUAGUCGCUGCUAUCUUGUGCGUUUUUAAAGGGUGUCUUCUCUUACGCAGCAUAAACUACAGGAAGAAACAAGGAAUUUUGAUUUAUUUUGUCCUAACUACUUUGGUUUUAAUAAUCGCCAAAGGAUUUCUCAUUCAUGAAGCAAUCUACAGGAGGCCACUAGUGCAAGCAGUGUCAAAACCUGGCGAAAGGUUAGAUGUAACAUAUAAAUUCCAGUAUUUUCUGUUCUAUCCUUUGGUUUUUCUCACUGCUUGGUUUUUCCAACUAUGUGUGAUUUUGUUCUAUCGAGAAGUAGCAAGGAAUCCCGUUGUAAAUGAACAUUUGGAAAGUUUUCCAGAAUGAGACGAGUUAAAACGUUACAUUAUAUCCAGGGUGAUGUCGUCACUAUUUCUUACUACCGUGAACUUGGAAAUGGUACAACAAACGGCUAAAAAUGAUAUUUAAAUAUUAAACAAUACCGAAAUUAGCAUAUCUUUUAGAAAACUGGCAGUUUGCAAUAUUCUAUAUUACAAAAGCGACUACUGGGAUAUUAGUUACACAGAACUCGACAUUCAACAUCGGACGUGAAGAGAACGUCUAAAGAAUAGACUAAAGAAAAAACUUAGUAAAUACGUUUUUCUGUCUUGUUACGAUUAUUUCAAAUUAAUUUUGUAUUUUACUUUUUAUAUUUUUUGUAAUAAAAACUAUGUUCAAAUUCCAA